rnacentral:rRNA from 1 species
AGCGGUGGAUUAUGUGGUUUAAUUCGAUGAUACUCGAGGAACCUUACCAAGGCUUAAAUGGGAAUUGAUCGGUUUAGAAAUAGACCUUCCUUCGGGCAAUUUUCAAGGUGCUGCAUGGUUGUCGUCAGCUCGUGCCGUGAGGUGUUAGGUUAAGUCCUGCAACGAGCGCAACCCCUGUCACUAGUUGCUAGCAUUAAGUUGAGGACUCUAGUGAGACUGCCUACGCAAGUAGAGAGGAAGGUGGGGAUGACGUCCAAUCAUCACGGCCCUUACGCCUUGGGCCACACACGUAAUACAAUGGCCGGUACAGA